CAGUCGCCACGGGAAUACGGAGGGGGCUAGCGUUGUUCGGAAUUACUGGGCGUAAAGCGUACGUAGGCGGCUUUGUAAGUUAGAGGUGAAAGCCUGGUGCUCAACACCAGAACUGCCUUUAAGACUGCAUCGCUUGAACGUCGGAGAGGUGAGUGGAAUUCCGAGUGUAGAGGUGAAAUUCGUAGAUAUUGGGAAGAACACCGGUGGCGAAGGCGGCGACCUGGUCCUUUACUGACGCUGAGGCGCGAAAGCGUGGGGAGCAAACAGGAUUAGAUACCCCAGUAGUCCCUGUCUCUUAUAC
rnacentral:rRNA from 1 species